rnacentral:rRNA from 1 species
GAUGAACGCUAGCUACAGGCUUAACACAUGCAAGUCGAGGGGUAACAUUGGCUGAGCUUGCUCAGCCAGAUGACGACCGGCGCACGGGUGAGUAACGCGUAUCCAAUCUACCCAUGGCUCAGGGAUAGCCUUUCGAAAGAAAGAUUAAUACCUGAUGGUUUCGCUUUUCCGCAUGGUUUGGCGAAUAAAGAUUUAUCGGCGAUGGAUGAGGAUGCGACUGAUUAGCUAGUUGGCGGGGUAACGGCCCACCAAGGCGACGAUCAGUAGGGGUUCUGAGAGGAAGGUCCCCCACAUUGGAACUGAGACACGGUCCAAACUCC